ACGGAAGGCAGCAGUGAGGAAUAUUGGUCACUGGGCGAGAGCCUGAACCAGCCAAGUCGCGUGAGGGAAGACGGCCCUAUGGGUUGUAAACCUCUUUAAUGCGGGAAUAAAGUGCCCCAUGCGUGGGGUUUUGCAAGUACCGCAGGAAUAAGGGUCGGCUAACUCCGUGCCAGCAGCCGCGGUAAUACGGAGGAUACGAGUGUUAUCCGGAUUUAUUGGGUUUAAAGGGUGCGUAGGCGGAGGAUCAAGUCAGUGGUGAAAUAGUGCGGCUCAACCGUAGCAUUGCCGUUGAAACUGGUUUUCUAGAGUGCGAAUGAGGUGGGCGGAAUGUGUCAUGUAGCGGUGAAAUGCAUAGAUAUGACACAGAACACCGAUUGCGAAGGCAGCUCGCUGGGACGCGACUGACGCUGAGGAACGAAAGUGCGGGGAUCGAACAGGAUUAGAUACCCUGGUA
rnacentral:rRNA from 1 species